rnacentral:rRNA from 1 species
UGUGGGGUGACGGCGUGCCUAUCGAAAAAUGAGUCUGCGAGUCAGUGGCGGGUGGCGAGCAUAAGCCGUGUGGCGUAUGCGUAGCGAAAGCGAGUCUUAAAAGGCGUUUUUAGUCGCUUGUCCUGGACCCGAAGCGGGAUGAUCUAGCCCUGGGCAGGUUGAAGCGCGGGUAAGACCGCGUGGAGGACCGAACCCACCUGGGUUGAAAACCGGGGGGAUGACCUGGGGCUAGGGGUGAAAGGCCAAUCAAAUUCCGUGAUAGCUGGUUCUCUCCGAAAUGCAUUUAGGUGCAGCGUCGGUCGAUUGCGUCGCGGGGGUAGAGCUACCGGAUGCUUGCGGGCCCUUGUUGGGUACCAACAGCAGCCGAACUCCGAAUACCGUUGACGUGUAUUCCGGCAGUGAGUCGGCGGGGGAUAAGCUCCGUCGUCGAGAGGGAGACAGCCCAGACCGUCGUCUAAGGUCCCGAAGCGUGUGCUAAGUGGGAAAGGAUGUGGAGUCGCAUAGACAGCCAGGAGGUUGGCUCAGAAGCAGCCAUCCUUGAAAGAGUGCGUAACAGCUCACUGGUCUAGUGGUUCCGCGCCGACAAUGUAGCGGGGCUCAAGCACACCACCGAAGACGCGGCAGCAAUCUUCAUGGUUGCUGGGUAGGAGAGCGUCCUGCGAGGGGCGAAGCGGCCGGGUAACCGUGCCGUGGACUUCGUGGGAGUGAGAAUGCAGACAUGAGUAGCGAGAGACGGGUGAGGAUCCCGUCCGCUGGAUGACCAAGGGUUCCGGGGCCACGUUCGUCGUCCCCGGGUGAGUCGGGUCCUAAGGCGAGGCCGACAGGCGUAGUCGAAUGGAUGAACGGGUGGAUAUUCCCGUACCGACCAUGGACCGGCAAAACCGAGACGGUGAGUACUAACCUCCGCCUCGUGGUGGUUCCUUCCUUCGGGUUGGUGUCGCCGCGUGGUGUUGGGAGCGUAGCCGCAGUAGGUCAGCGCAGGGGUGACACGGAAUGGGAGCCGGCCGCGGAGGUGGUUUUCCGUGGUCAAGCACGCAGCCAGUCAUGUAGGCAAAUCCGCAUGGCGCGCAUGGCGAGGUGUGAUGAUGGGAGCCGUUAUGGUUCGAUAUCCGGUUGUCCAGGCCGUCGAGAAAAGCCUCGGCGUGAGGGCCAUGGCCGCCCGUACCCCAAACCGACACUGGUGGUCAGGUAGAGAAUACCAAGGCGAUCGAGCGAAUCCUGGUCAAGGAACUCGGCAAAUCACUCCCGUGCCUUCGGUAUAAGGGAGACCCGCUGGGGUGAAGGACCUUGCGUCCGGAGCUUUGGUGGGUGGCACAGACCAGGGGGUAGCGACUGUUUACCAAAAACACAGGUGCAUGCGAAGGCGAAAGCCGCUGUAUAUGCACUGACGCCUGCCCGGUGCCGGAAGGUUAAGAGGAUCCGUCAAUCCCUUCGGGAUGAAGCGGUGAAUUCAAGCCCCGGUAAACGGCGGUGGUAACUAUAACCAUCCUAAGGUAGCGAAAUUCCUUGUCGGGUAAGUUCCGACCUGCACGAAUGGCGUAACGACUUCCCC